CCGUCGCAGUGGAAAGGAGACAAUAAGAGAAGAGGAAGUGGUUUUUCUGGAUGAACUCAAUAACUAUGUUCACGUCUACACAACACAACAAUAAAAAUAUUGAAAAGAUGAAUAUAAUUAUGCAGGAAUCUUUUGAUAGACUAGAAUCAACAAACGGUCCUAUAGCUUACCAAAAUGGAAAUGAAAUUCAAGAAUAUGAUACCAUCAUGAAUUUAGUGAUUCCAAAAGAAAUACCAUGCACAAUAGAAAUUAGAAAUUAUACCAAAAAUAAGAUAACAAAUGGACUUGGUGUUUAUUAUGGUUGCGGUCAUGUUUUGACUGCUUUCCAUGUUAUUGAGGAUAUCGGUACAUGUCGUGAGCAGGAUAAAAUAUUGGUUACUUUCAUGACUGAAGAUAUUGUGCUGGUCUAUAAGGCUGUCAUUACAGAAUUUUGUAACUUUGACAAAUCUAGAGAUCAAGCUUAUAUUAAAUUACUUGGCAAUACACAUCCACUUGGUGAUGGUCUACAAAAUCAGAUGGAUAACCCCGAUAAAAUUGAAAGUAUAUAUUUUUACACUUUAGUCAAUGGGAAUUUUCAGAAGAAGGAGGGUAAAUUAAUUCGUCCAAAUUCAAGCAUGAAGGCACAAAUGCUUCCUUCUGAGUUUGUAAUAUCUCUAGCAGGUAAACAUGGAGACAGUGGCUCACCUGUUUACAAUGAAAAAGAUAAACUGAUUGGAAUAUAUAGAGGUGACUUUACAUGCACGACGACCUCUGAUAAAUAUGGCCACUAUACUGAAAUCUCUCCAAAGUUUAUACCCUGGAUGAAUAAACGUACUUAAAGUAAGAUUUGGCGUUUUUUAGGAAAGUUCCUAGUUUUUUUAUAGAAAAAAAAUUCAACAAUUUGAAAACAUAUUAUAUUUUUUAAAAUAUCGAAGUUCUGAUUUGUUUAAAAAUAUCGAAGUUUUGUGAUAUUUAAAAAUAUCGAAGUUUUAAGAUGUUUAAAAAUAAAGUUUUGAGAAAAAUAUUUUAAAAUAUCGAAGUUUUGAGAUAGAUAUUUAAAAAUAUUGAAGUUUUGAGAUAGAUAUUUAAAAAUAUCAAAGUUUUGUGAUAUUUAAAAAUAUCGAAGUUUUAAGAUGUUUAAAAAUAAAGUUUUGAGAAAAAUAUUUUAAAAUAUCGAAGUUUUGAGAUAGAUAUUUAAAAAUAUUGAAGUUUUGAGAUAGAUAUUUAAAAAUAUUGAAGUUUUGAGAUAUUUAAAAUUAUUGAAGUAAACUUGUAGUUUACAACAAAGUAGUUGCAAAAACCAACUGCUUGGACGUUAAUUGUACAACUGUUUGGUUGACAAUAAUUGAUUUUAGUCUAUCAAAUAUAUUUAUUGUUAUAACAUUUUAUCCUUUAAAUAAAUAAAUAAAUCAUGAAUAAAUCUGAGAUCCCAUGUGGCAUGUUGUUGCAUGAGGCCUUGGGCUCUUGCGUAACAGUCACAUUUUACAGAUUUCUUUCAUGGUUUAAAAAAAAGUUUGUGGAGAAAUAAUAGCAUGCCAUUUAGGAAAUUAUUAUUAUUAAAUAUAUAGAAAGUAAGCCUGAAUAUGUGGAAUGAAACUUAUAUUUAAAUAAAAUAUGGUCCUGCAGGGCCAAUUUUUUCUAUCUUUUUUUGCUUUCAUGGCAAACUGUUUGUCACUCCCUUUCUGUUUUCGGGGCUUGAGGUGCACGUGUGGAAGUGCGCGUGCAUGUGCGUGCAUGUGCAUGAGGCAUGUGAGUCACUAGAAAGAAGCCAAGGCUUUUGUUUCUGCCAGACCUGAGAAAUAAAAGUUCACGUGCAAGAACAACCUGAGUCCACUGAGUCUCACCUUCUGAAUAUUUACCACACUGGUGGCCAAGCCAGGGAGAUCAACGCAUCAUGAAUGCCACAUGGACAUGGAGGCAAAUCCCCUGGCACAGAUCGUAGAGCCUCGAGAAAUCAUCAGCAUCAAGCUCUCAUGGGUCUGCAGUAACAACAUCAGGAAAUCCUCAUGAAAAACCAUGGAGGAGAACGCUGCAGGCCAAACCACCAUCCAGAGCCUGCUGGCACGAGCUCCUCCCUAAACUCCUUCUCGCUGGCCAAAAUGACACCCCAGGAUGAUGUCGAGGUGUACCUGGAGAUGUUCCAAAGUAAUGCCUCUGCGUGUGGCUGGCCGAGAUGCACAUUCAAGUCCUUCUGAACAGAGGCCUGGCUGAUUUCCAGUGGCUCACACUUGACUCAUGCAUCAUGGACACACACACAGAGAACACACAGGUUUGGCUCAGUAAGACAGAGAGAGAGGGACAGAACAGCUUGCUAUUAUAAGCCCACAAAUAAUCAACAGGCAUAUCAGAAUAAUCACAUUUGAGUUGAGGUACAUUCACACAUACAAGGAAUUUGCUGUUGAAUGUGCUAUGCAAAUAAACUGAUUUGACUGGACUGGUGAAUGAGUCUCUGGAAACCACUUCCUCCUCCAUGUUACCGAUCCACUGCCCAGAGUGAGGUCCUCAAAAUAAGAUACACUAAAGAUUGGCAUUUUACAAAAAAUUAAACGUCUCACCCUUGCUUCACUGGAUGGAGGACACCUGGGUGCUGUCGAUUUGGAUCUGCGAAAUGCUGCUGUCAUCAUCGCUGCAAUCAUCACUCCUGCACAUUUACUACUGUCUGUCUUUACACUCCUAUAUCUGUGGACUGUAAUGAUUUAUAAUCGCAUUCGCCGAUUUCACCCACAAGAGGAUGGGUUCCCUUUUGAGUCUGGUUUCAUCAUCUCAGGGAGUUUUUCCUUGUCACUGUUGCUCACUCGGGAUCGAAACUUACAUCCAGAAUUCUGUAACAAAAAUGUCUGUUGGAAAAAAGAAAAAAAAAGUACGAAUAAAGCCAAACUCUGAACUGAA